UGCCAGACAUUGGGGUGGACCCUGGGAAUACAAAGGAGAAUAUAACACAGACUCUGUAUGCCACUGUGUAUUAAAAGAUCAUCAGAGAAGUUCAUGUGCCGCAGAGGACUGGAGGAGCUCCCUCUGGGGAUAGUCUAACUGUGCAAAAGGGGGGCUGCCUAAAAGCCCCUUUCUGCCCCAAAAGGGCAAUCCCUGUUGCUCCUAUGAGGCGCUUAACAUUUUUACCUAUUCUGGUGCAUUAAGAAUGACUAACCUACAUUGAAUAGUACAAGAAAUUCUUUUCAGAAGCUGAGAGAUAAGAUAGAUUAUUUCUUUUAAUGCUUGAAUUUUUGAAUGGUUGCAGUUUUGUACUAUAUGAUCUGCCCCAGGGACUCACUUCUUUAAGUAACAACACCGAAUUUUCAAUGAUGUCUGUUUGUUUAUGCAUUUUCCUAACAGUAUCAUGGAUGAAUUCGUAAAUAUUAUUUUAAGAUGGAGAGUGUGUUUAAGUCUGUAAGACAAGGCAUUGCUUGACUCCCCAUGACAAGAUCUCAGGCAAUUCAUUUCAUCCCAAGACUAAUGCCUUCUCAGCCACUUUGUGUAUCUGAUUUCUGUUGAGAAAUGUCAAUGUACAUGAGCUGCCAGAAAUACUAUAACUUAAGCCUGGAAAUAAAAUACUAAUAUGCUGAAGGUAGAUAAUUUCUAAUAAGAGUACCACUGAAUAUAAUUUUCAUUUUUCACAUAAUGUAGAUGAAUGGGUAUGGCUGCAUUUUAUAGAAGAUGUUUUUAAAGAUUGUAUUACCCAGGAAGAUUGAUAAUACUCAUGUCAUUCACAAAAGAAGAAUAAAGAUGAUGUAAUAAUUUUCUAAAUUCUAUAUUGUAGACUCAGUACCCUAUGAUCCCAGCAAUUUGUGAGGCUGACAGAUGACAAUCACCAAGUUCAAGACUAGCCUCAGCAACUUAGACUAUGUUUCAAAAUAAAAAGUAAAAAGGACUGGGGUUGUGGCUCACUUGCUGUUCGAUCCCCAGUAACCAAAAAAUAAAUAAAUAAAUAAAGGCAGUUAACUAUAAUAUACAAUAUAAUAAGUCUUUUGAAUUACCUUAGUUGGGCUACAAUAUGAUAGUAUUGUAAAGUGUAAGGAAGCUCUGAAUCUGAUUAUAAAUGAACAUAUGUUGCUCAGAAGUUCAUUCUUAUAUUUUUGUUUUUGUUUUUAUUUUUUGGAAACGGUCUCACCAAGGGUCUUGACAAGUCCCUGAGGUUGGCCUCCCACUGCUAUCUUCCUGCCUCAGUCUCCCAAAUUUCUGGUAUUAUACCAUCAUGCCCAGCUCAUUCCUCAAUAUAAUAUUAAAUAAGAAUCAGCUGAAAGACUGUGGAACCAACCUAGAUGCCCUUCAAUAGAUGAAUGGAUAAAAAAAAAUGUGGCAUUUAUACACAAUGGAGUAUUACUCUGCAUUAAAAAAUGACAAAAUCAUAGAAUAUGCAGGGAAAUGGAUGGCAUUAGAGCAGAUUAUGCUAAGUGAAGCUAGCCAAUCCCUAAAAAACAAAUGCCAAAUGUCUUCUUUGAUAUAAGGAGAGAACUAAGAACAGAGUAGGGACGAAGAGCAUGAGAAGAAGAUUAACAUUAAACAGGGAUGAG
rnacentral:lncRNA from 1 species